rnacentral:tRNA from 1 species
GGGCGAUUAGCUCAGUUGGUUAGAGCGCUUGCUUCACACGCAAGAGGUCACUGGUUCGAGUCCAGUAUCGCCCACCA